rnacentral:tRNA from 2 species
GCCCAGGUGGCGGAAUUGGUAGACGCACCAGCUUCAGGUGCUGGCGGGGCGACCCGUGAAGGUUCGAGUCCUUUCCUGGGCACCA